CUUCCGGGUCGUCUCCAGGGACAGGUACUCCACCCAGCUCUUCUUGUCCUGGUAGUUCUUGGACUCAUCCACGAUCUUCUGAAACAUCGCUCUCUUCCUGAACCCAGGGAACAAGGGAGGUGCAGGUGGGAGCAAGUGUGGAGACCCCGCCCCAAGCGCCCGUCUGCAGGGAGGCGCGGAGCCCGAGCGAGGCCCCAUCCGGGGUGCGCGGGGCCGGCGGGCAGGGACGGAAUCCGGGGCUGCGUCCCCCGGGCUGUGCCGCCGCUGCGCCCCCGUGUCUGCCGGGGGUCCCAGGCUACCCGCCCGCCCCGCGAGGCGCCCCCUCCCGGAAGGCGCGCACUUGAAGUACAGGGCCAGGUCCGUGGCGAUGAUGGCGAUGUCCAUCAGGUGGAUCACGUGCUCGUGCUGCCGCCGGUUCAGGUUCUGGUAGAUGUUCAGGGUCUGCGGAGGUUAUGCCCAGCGCGUCAGGCGCCCUGCGGCCACCUCUCAGGGUGCCCGGGGACCCCGCCCCUUCCGCCUCGGCUGCCUGUGCCUCUCACGCCCCCGCCCUCGGGCCCUCGGUGGGCGGGACCCCUAAUCCGCCUGCUGCUCAGGGCCCUCCUCAGGGUGCCCAGCUCUCCACCAGCGGCUCCAUCGUCGGCUUGGGACGCAGAUGGCCUCAGAGGUCACCACCGGGGAGCGCAGGGAGGGGUCCACUGAGUGUCCAGGUCCUUGGGGGCCGCUCAGGGCUCGGCUGCCCUUCAUUCCCCCGCUGUGCUCACACACCCAGUGCUCACCCGCUGCAUCAGAACCCUGCUCCGCAGGAUACGGCCCUGCCGUCCUGCGGACGCUGCGUCCCCAGCGCCCACAGCAGAAACCGAGGGUUGUUGGUGCCGCGGUGGUCGAUGUCAUGGCACAGGCCGGCUGUCACCAUGGCGAAGGCCUCCAGGUCCGUGUAGUAGCUCUUCAGUUUGCCGGUCUGUAGAGACAGGGCCACCUUGCUCACCGGUCCUGGCUCCAGCAGGGUGGGGAGUGGUGAGGGGUUGGGAUGACCUAGGCGUCGGGUUGGAGGUUGGACCUCCGACCACCGCAGGGCUGGGGUGCGCGGUGCACGGUGUCAGAGGGCGUUGCCCUCCUCCAUCCUUCUGCCCUGGGAGGACCCCCAUCUCAUCCCUCGGGGUGCUUGAGUGCUGCCCUUGGUACCAGGAGGGCCUGCACAACCCUGGUGAUUCUGGCAGCCACGUACCAUGAGCAGCGUGAACAUCGUCUGGGCCACGUUGAAGCCGUGGCGCCAGUUGUGGUAGGUGAUUCUCCGGUACCCUUUGCUGAUGGAGAACAGGAACCGCACCAGGACCUGGGGGAGCCGAGAGGACACAGGGCUCCGGCGGCAAGCGUGUAAGUCCCGCCAGAGCGGCACCUGUGGCUGACUUCACAGUGGAAGCCCUGCUCCGUGCCAUCAUCCCCACACCGUCUCCUGGACUUCCCGAUCUUCCCCAUCCCUGCGUUUCCCACUGGCCUCUGCUGGCCUUCCUGGGUAGGGGCUGCCACAUUGGCACCUAUGGGGUGGAGCCAGGUAGGGCAGGAGCUGAGAACAGCCCCAGCCUUCAGGGGCCGCCCAGCCUCCAUCCGACUGCCUGGCCUCAAGCUGGGAGGAGGACCCCUGGGGAUGCAGCAUAUUUUAAGAUGUUGGUUUUAGGCAUGGACAUUUGAAUGAGCAGAAUGUGUGGGCUGCAGGCUGGGGUGGGAGAACCGAUGUCCGCAGGGCAAGAGAAUGCUGGUCUCUCUUGCCCUGCGGACAUCGCCAGGAGGCUCUUCCUGCGGCCAUUGUGAUUUUUAGGGUCAGAAAAUUAUUUGGAAAUAUUUUUUAUUCUGCAAAUAUUUUCUAUACAUUUUUUCUUGAGUGUUUUCCCUUAGUAUUUAGUAAAACUUCUUUUGAAAAUGCUGGCCUGCUGCACCUGUUCUCAGAGGGGCAUGAGAAAAGAGGAUUCUCUUCCUAGGGCUGUGGGAAGCCCCUUGAGAUGUUGGAAGCAGGGCAGGGCAGGAGAACCCAGGGAGGGCACAGAGCUGUGGACGAGGGCUGGGAAAGCCAUCCCGCCUCCCCAGGGGGUCUCCGAGGAGUGCUGCUGUGGCCAAACCAGGGGGGCCACUUUGUGCUUUCUGUUUAGGUGAUGGGAUGCUUCUAUCUCCUCAGCACCCCACACCAAAUCCCCUGUUAUUGCCAGAUGAUGUGCCUAAUGAUCAAAUUGCUUGGAACUCCUAAUAAUAAAACUUUAAAUCUAUCCAUUCACCAUCCAUCUGCUGUCCACCCAUCCAUUCACCCAUUCAUUGACCCAUCUAUUAAUUCAUUAAUUGACCCACCUACUCAUCUAUCACUCAUCCACCCACUUCUCCAUCCAUCCACCUAUCCAUUCACUUAUCCAACCAUCUAACUACCAUUGGCCCACUCACCCAUCCAUCCAUUUAUCCAACCAUCCAACUACCAUUGGCCCACCCACCCAUCCAUUUAUCCAACUAUCCAACUACCAUUGGCAUCCACCCAUCCAUUCAUUUAUUCUUCCUUUGUUUCUUUCUGCUUGCCUGUUGGCCUUCCUUCCUUCCUAACCUCCCUCCUUCCUCCCUGCUUUUCACCCAUCCAGCCAUCCAUCAAUCCAGCCAUCCACCCAGCCAUCCAAUUAUUUGUUUUAUGCUUACUUCCCGUGUGCAUUUUACCUGUUCUGUGAUGAACAUGUCGGCCCUCUAAACUUCCUGUGGGAUCUGGAACCCCCAAUCCCAUCCCCCUCACCUUCUGGGGCACCUGAGGCCCUGAUCACAUCCCCACCCCCAUGUCCUGGGCGGCCUCAGGGACCUGACUAUGCGCCCUGCGGUGUCUCCCACCUCCUGGGGGAUCUGGAACUUUCGGACCACGCCCAGCUCGUAGUACAUCUGGAUGCCACAUUUGACCAGGUCCAGUUCGGUGCACUCCAGGUCAGAGAAGUGGAAUUCGUAGAUGUCAAAUGUGGUGGGCCCUGGCAGCUCCUCCUUCUGUGGGAGGGAUUGUGGGCUGAGGGAGGUUGGCCUGCCACAGCCCCCACUUGCUUCUCAUCCUUUCUUCUCUCCAGAUCCCCUGCCAAGCCUCAGACACCUCAGGCAUCUCUGAGGAGAUGUGUCAUUCCUGGCGCUCCAGCCUGUAUCCCAGGCUGCUCACACGCCCCCCUGGCUCAGCCUCACUCUCCCCUCUUGUACCCUGUGGCCCAACAGUGAAGAACUUGCCCAGUUGGGUGGACAGGGUGAUGUUGUUGAGACAAGAAAACACAAAGGUGUGCACAUGAAAAGAAACACACACACACACGGAUACAGACACACGUGACACAGGCACACCUGGAUACACGGCCACUCCCAUGAAUACAAAGGCACCGGUGUGGACACACAGGCACACACAUGAGCACCCAGGCACACCCACAGACAUGCAGGCACACACGUGCAGACUCACGCAUGUAGGCUCACACACACAGCCAUGAGGUAACACACACAACAGUGGACUUUCAGACCCACCAGGCACAUUCCCAUGCUCAGUCCAAGGCCUACUCACAAGGCUCGUGGCCCCGGGAGAUUCUGGCUAAAUUGCAUAGGCAGACACAGGGUGAUGGGGACACCACAUAAUCCCCACAUUGAUCCAGCAAUCGUCUCUAGGAGACACACACAAGCAUGUGUCUAUAUAUAUCCAUGUGCACACACAUGCACACACAAUACACACCCCCUGUGCACAUGUGAGCACACACACAUGGGUGCACACACGGGCACACACACACAAACGCCCAUGUGCACACACAUGCACACACAUACUCGUGGGCACACAUGUGCACACACAUGUGUACACAUGUGCACAUUCAUACAAUGCACACACGCACACACAUACCCACAUGUGCACACACACACCCACAUGUGCACACAUGUACACACCUGUGCAGACGCCCACGUGUGCACACACACCUACAUGCACACACACGUACACACUUGUGCACACACAGACACCCACAUGUGCACACACAUGCACACAGACACCCAUGUGCGUGCACACAUGCGGAUGCACACACACUGGGAGUUGCAGGCACCUAGGCACUCUGAGAGCAGAGAUGACAUAGAUGGACACAGAGUCCAAGUCAGGCCCACUAAACAUCCGGUGAAAACUAAACAUCUGGCAAAGCACAGAGGAGACAGGAAGACACGAAGAUACACUCAGGAGUGCAGACAUCAAAGCCACAUUCUGGCCAUGCAAACACACUCAGGGACACACUGGCUGAGACUGAAAGCCAGGCUUAUGUACACACACGUACACUAAGGUGCUUAGAUACACAAGUAUACACACACAGCACCAACAUCCCUGAUGACCGUGUGUGCAAAGCACCGUCGGGUCCCGGAGAAUGCAGAACUCUUCCUCCCAGCCUCACACGUGGCCGGCCUCCAUGGGAGGGACGGGAGCAAGGUUCUUACCAGGAUUUCGCCCAGCUCGUCCUCAUCGCAGUCAGCAGGCUCCUUCCCCAGGCGCGCUCUGGUUGGCUACACAGAGACACAGAUGUGUCACGAGAAAGAGCUUCGCAUGUGGGACAAGGUGACGGCGGUGCGUCCACCCCGUGUGAGCUAGAGGAAGGUGCUGUCAAGAGCUUGUGCUUUCACCCUGGGAAGGCCCUGGCGGCCUCUGAUCUGGAGACAAAUGACCGUGUGCAUGGCCUGCUGACUUUCCCACCUGUCCUCUCUCGGGCACUGCCUUACGCAGUCCUCAGAGCCAUGACCUCUGGGUGACCCCUGGAUGGACCCCUGGACGACCUGCCCCCACCACACAGCCGUGACCCCUGGAUGACCUGCCCCCACCGCACAGCCAUGACCCCUGGCCAUGACCCCUGGGUGACCCCUGGACGACCUGCCCCUGCCGCACAGCCGUGACCCCUGGGUGACCCCUGGACGACCUGCCCCCGCCGCACAGCCAUGACCCCUGGCCGUGACCCCUGGGUGACCCCUGGACGACCUGCCCCCACCGCACAGCCGUGACCCCUGGGUGACCCCUGGAUGACCUGCCCCCACCACACAGCCGAGACCCCUGGGUGACCCCUGGACGACCUGCCCCUGCCACACAGCCGUGACCCCUGGGUGACCCCUGGACGUCCUGCCCCGCCGCACCAGGAUGAGCUGGAUCUCGUCCCUGUCGCACUUCACGUGGUAAAGGACCAUGUCCUGUGCGAUGUCCUUGCGGUUCUCCAGCUUGUUCAUCUUGUCGUAGGUGUCGGUGUUCAUCACUGACCAGCCCAGGAACUGUGUCAGGGACUGGAGGGGAUGGCAGUGUCACUGGCGCUCAGCGCUCCCGGCGCGCCCCCUCCCAUGUGCCUGUGUGCCAGGCCCCGUGGCUCGGCGGGCAGGUCCUGGGGCUGCCACCAUGGUGUCGCAGUGCUUCUGUGUGGGGUCUCCCGGGUGCUCUGCAGAGGCUCCUGCUCCCGGGGGGGCCCUUUGUCGUCCUCUCCCUGGCCGCAUGCAUACCGCACACACAUGAGCACACGCACACAGCCGAAUGCUUGGCGGGGAGGCCCCCACACCGCACAGGCCCCACCCCUCGCAGGGCAUCCCCGGCGGAACCACGUCUGCCCAGGUGCUUACCUCCAUGAGAACCUCGUCCUGUUCGUCAAAGGGCUUCCCGUCUUUCCUGUUGUAAAAUGUGGCGACUCCCACAAUCUCCUCCUUCUUGUUGACGAUGGGCAUGGACAGCACAUUCUUGAUGAGCCACCCGGAGUCGUCCAGGGCCCCUUCCUGCGGGAGCGGUGUCCAGAGCUGAGCUCCGCCCUGAGGCUGGCCCUGGCCCGGGCGUGUGGCCGGGGAGAGUGACCUCAUGUCUUCUCCCCUAGAGCCGUGACGGCUGGGCUCGUGUUCCUGUCUCUGCUCUCUGCAUUCCCUCUCUCCCUCUCUGCAUUUGGAGUUUGUGUCCAUGGUUUUUGUGUCAUGAUAUUUUCCCACCGGAGGAGGUAGAGGCCGUUUUCCCACCAGGAGUGGUUUCAUGGGCAUGUGUGUGGGGCGGCGGUCACGGCCUCGCAGGGGUGUGUGGGGGCCGCGGUCACGGCCUCGCAGGGGUGUGUGGGGGCCGCGGUCACGGCCUCGCAGGGGUGUGUGGGGGCCGCGGUCACGGCCUUGCGGGCGUGUGUGGGGGCUGUGGUCACAGCCCCAGGUGAUCCACCCGCCUCAGCCUCCCAAAGUGCUGGGAUUACAGGCGUGAGCCACCAUGCCUGGCUGAAGUUGUUUUUUAAGUGGCAAAAACGAAUUCACUUCAUCAUCGCUGAAUCAAAAUCUCCUCUUUUGUAAGUAAGUAUAAUUUCUACCAAGGCACAGACAGAUACCUGAAAUUUGAACAUUUCGUCAGCGGAAGCAUUCAUGAUGUUACAAAUCUGAAAAAGCAUCAGAAAAACGAUUUCAUCCAAAACAGCGGAAGGUCUGUUAUGAUCUAAAAUGGCCUCUGUGGCCCUGAGGUGAGCUUUUAAGUAGGUAAAGCAGGGCAGCUGGGGGCUUCACUGAGGCACGUGGAGCUGGCCGGGAGGGCGGGACGUGGCAGAGACAAGGAGAAGCACACAUCGCCGCACCCAGUGAGGGCAAGGCUGUGGGGACUCCAGACAGCACGGGACUCACAAAGCCGCUUUCUGCCACGUAGCUUGGAAGGCCGCUGGCCAGGGCCCAGUGAUCGGCUGAGGGUGUGCUGUGGGCAGAGAGCAGGGGUCAGAUAGGCCACGCCGGGCUGGAUGUGCGCGUGCAGGAGUCAGAGGGACUGGAUGUCUGUGUGCAGGGGUGAGAGGGGCUGGUCUAGGCUGCACGUGUGUGUGCAGGGGUCAGAGGGGCUGGUCUGGGCUGCACGUGUGUGUGCAGGGGUCAGAGGGGCCAGGCUGCGCUGGAUGUAGGUGUACUGGGGUCAGAUGGACUGGGCGUGUGUGCAGGGGUCUGGGGGUCUCUGGCUCAUGUGCCAUCCUCAGCAUUUACUCUCUUCUCUGAGUGCCAGGGGGUUCAGGAGGCGAGGAGGCCAGGGCGUGGGUUGGAGGACGGCUGUGCUGCCUUCUUCCUCCUCCCCAGGCUGCCGUGCUGGGGCCCCUCCCUCUUGGGAACCCCUCCCUCUCCGGAGGCCGUAUGGCUUCAGCCUGCUUUCUAGGACUCAGCGUUGGUGCCUGCCCUGCCACCCUGACCCUGACUUGUGCUCAAGCCUGGCACCUGGAUCCUGGUUCCUGCUUGGGGCCUGGGGAUGGGGUCCCAAUAGGCUUAUGGGAUCACAGGGCCACUGGGCCACCAGCUGCCCCUCCCUUGGCUGGAGUCCUGCCCUGACCUCCGGACUGGAGUUCCCCUCCUCUUCCAGCCCCACGGGGCCAAGACUCGGCCUCCUGGCUGGAGGCUCCACUGUCUGGGUGGGGCUGGUGGUGCCAGGGUCAAAUCCUGGGGCCUUCAUGCUCAAUUGUUGCUGACGAGGCCGCCUGGACAGCUUGCCUGGUCCCCUGUAUGUCCACUCUGGAUGUCCACAGUGACUCGGGCUCCUCAGCAGCCCACGUCCUCCUCACCAUCUCCCAGAACAGAGGCCCACGGAGUACCGCUCGCAGUUGAGGUAGGCCCGCACCGUGUAGAAGGCCUUGUGGAACUGCCUCUCGAUGUCCGUCAGCUCCUCAAACACCUUGUUGGCCGACCACAGCAGCACCUGGAGGGAGGGGCACACCUGUGGGCCUGUGGCCACUCCCACCCUCACGCCGGUCUGACCACAGCAGCAGGGGUUUAACUCAAGCCUGACACAGGUUUCAUCUGAGCUUGUGGGGCCCGGGAGCUGGCUGGCGGUGAGGCCUCGAGGCUGCGGUCGUGUCCCUGAUCACUCAGGAGUGGACGAGUGGAAAGUGGAAUCUGUCGCUUUGAGCUUGACAGGCAAACAUCCGACCAGCCCUUCCUCCGCCCGGCUGCUCCAGAACCACCUGCGGCGAGCAGGGCUUUGAGAACAUCGGGCCGUGGUUUCCGCACGUCAGGCCGCCUGUGGCCUCCGCCAAGCGUCUGAGAGUGAAGCAUUGCUGACGCACUCCACGAGGUCCUGGCCAGACCCCACUCAGGACAUCCCGCUGCACAGGCCCCUGGUUGCUGGGUCAGCGCUGCCACCAGGCUCAGACUCACCCCAGGGCCCUCCUUGGGCCACCUUUCUCUGCCUCCUUGGUCAAGGCCCAGACCCAGGCCCCACCAGGCCCUGCCUCCUCACACUCGCGGCGGCCGCUGGGUCUUCUACCGCAUGGUGCCAGCUCCCUCUCCUCCGCUGCGGUGUCCUAGCCCAGCUCUCUCCCUGCCAGGCCCUCUGAAGUUCCACCCCCUGGCACUCAGCUCAUGGUGGGAACAGGACCAGGCUCUCCUGUUGCCAAGGGCAGUGAGAUGUUCGUAGCUUUAUUUCCCAGUACAUUGAUUUUACUGAUUUUAGUUUAUCUUCAGUUGAAUAAUUGUGUGUAUUGAUGGGGUUUAUGUUUUAUGGGGUUUGGCGUGAUGUUCUGAUGUAAGUAUUUGUUGCAGAAAGAUUCAAUUAAGCUAAUCAACAUAUCCAUCACCUCACCAACUUGUUUUUUUUGUGGUGAGAACAUUACAAGUCUAUUUUCUAGCAAUUUGGUAUACAAUACAGUCAUCCCUCGGCAUCCUCAGGGAAAUUGGUUCCAGGACGCCGCUCUGAUAACAAAAUCCGAGGAUGUUCAAGUCCCGGAUGUGAAAUGGCCUAGAGUUUGUACAGAGGUUGCACACGCACCCCCAGGACUUCAAAUCAUCUCCGAUGACUUAGCACCCAGUGCAAGGCAAGGCCAUGAAAACGGCUGUUCUACUGUAUUGUUUUACAUUCUUAUUCUUAUUUUUAAUUUAAAACUUUUCCCACAUCAUAAAUCCUCGGAAG
rnacentral:lncRNA from 1 species